CAGUUAUCUGCGGCUCCAGGGAUCCACCUCCACUGAGUCUGGCACCUGAGGAAGCCCAUACUCAUGGAUAAUUUAGAGCUGGGAGAAUUAAAGUUCAGGAAAAUUUCAAGCGCAGCUGGCAAUCACCCAAGAACUACCUGAAACAGUGUUUUCGGGGUCUCCAGUAGCCAGUCACACAUUGGACACAAGUUUGGAAUUGGAGGAAAAGCUGAGAUCGCAGCGAACAUUACCACAGAGGAAGAAGCCAGGGGAGCAGCAAGAAGCUGGAAAUCAACGGAACCAGGAAAAGAAAGAAGACGCUGCCAUGUGCAUUGCCAUGUAACAGAAAAGUCAAGGAACCCCAAGGAUUGCCAAUCAGCCAAAA